UACCAGCACCCCGAGUGGUCGGGACGAUUAUUGGGCCUAAAGCAUCCGUAGCCGGUCAUGCAAGUCCUCCGUUAAAUCCACCUGCUUAACAGAUGGGCUGCGGAGGAUACUACAAGGCUAGGAGGCGGAAGAGGCAAGCGGUACUCAGUGGGUAGGGGUAAAAUCCUCUGAUCCAUUGAAGACCACCAGUGGCGAAGGCGGCG
rnacentral:rRNA from 1 species